UUGGGAAAAAACUAAACCUAAGAAAUCAAGGUCGAUCUGUCUCUCUCUCAUUCACGCCUCUGUGUCACUGUCUCUCUUACUCUCGCCUCACGCCUCUGGGACUCUCUGUCUCUCUCACUCUCACUCUCGCCUUUGCCCUCCUUUCUGUCGAUUUGUUUCCGUCUGUUACACGAGCACCACAGUCACUUCCAGGUAUCUCCUCUAUUUCGCCCUCUCUCUAUCUCUCUCUAUUUGUCUUUGUGUCUUCCUCUCUCUGUUUUCCUCUAGUCGGAACUGUGAGGCGCCAUAUGUUGAAGAAGUGGAACAAGUAUUGUUCCUUCCAUCUCCAUCGACCUCUUCAUCACAGAGAUCUUGUGUAUUAUCCAUCUAAUUCACUGCAAAACCACACUACACCCAACAAUCAAAACACUAGUUUUCGAACCAUUGUCGUUUGGUGAUGAUGAACAGACCUUGCUGAAUUGAUUGGAGUUUGGUAAUCGACCUAGCCCCAAAUCGACCCAGCCCCAAGCUUCUUUUCCAUACUCCAUCUAUGAGGAUGUUGGCCAUGACCCAUUAACAAACAUAGCAUCGAUUCCCAUUGAGUUCCGUUCAUUAAAUCACCCACAAAAACUACUCUCUUCCCUCUGAUCAAAACCAACAUUUUUGUUGCAUUGAACCUAGGAAAAAUAACAACCUUCUCUCUCUCUCUCUCUCUCUCUCUCUCAUUCCUUCUUCUCUUUCUGAUUUCAAUGGCAUCAGAUUGAACACCUCUAUUCAGAAAUGGGUUGAAAUUAUAGGACAAGCAUGCCAUGGUGUGGAUUUCUUGAAAGAUCAAGAUGUAAUCAGGAUUGUCCUUAAUAUAUUGCAGGGUGAAGUAUAUGGUGCUGUUUUAACGGUGAAAAUAAAUGAUACGGGAAACUAUGGGUGCUAUCCAGAUUGUGAGGAGAAGAUGUCAAUGCCUCUUUUUGCUGAGGCUAACAUAAAUCUCAUGAGAAAAAGACCAAUGAAAUCAUUGGUAGCUCAUUUCCAGUACAGAUUUAUCUGAGAAUGUGACUCACUUCACCGGUGGUGUCCAAGACCCUCCUUGCACAUGAGCCAGCCCUCAAACUUUCGCCAGCGGUCACAUUGUGGAUCAAGAAAUGGAGAAUCUAGCAAUGAUAAAAUUCAUUAUUCCCAUUCUUCUACUAAUCACCAGCAGGAGACACCUCUGCCUAGUCUCACGCCAUCGCCACUUGUCUCCAGGGAGAAGGGGUAAAAUGAAAUAGUUUGUGACGAUUUCUUCAGAUGGCAGAUCAUUUUCAUCAUGGUGGAGGUCCUCCGCAUACCGGGAAUGAGCCAGAUGUCAUGUCACUGCCUCCGAGAGUUCGGCCUUUCGACCCCGAGAGGUAUCAUCCUCAGGAGCACGUCCUACCUCCGACCACUUUCUAUCACUUCACUGACUUUGAUCAACGAGCACCCGCGGAUCUGCUACUACGGGAGCCAGAGUUCGUCUCUCUCAUCAAGCACGAGAGGUAUCUUCUCGUUCUACGCGAGGUUAUGGCUCGAUCGUCGCUAGGGAGUGGUAUGCGGAGCUCCCAGAUACUGUUCGCGAUAUCGUCGACGAUGCAGGAUUUGGACCCUUCUGCGCGGGGCUAUCACGUUACCCGGCGAGCAGGACCUUGAUGGGGGCACUUGUGGAGAGAUGGUGGGACACCAUCAACUCGUUCCACUUUUCAGCUACUGGGGAUAUGAUGAUGACCCCAUUUGACUUUGCCAUGCUGACUGGCCUUGACAUGGCCGGCCGACCGGUCCCUUAUGAUGCAGAUAUGGGUGAGUGAGAGGCAACUUGGAUUUAUCUACUGGGAGUCCGCCCGCCGAUCGACAGAUCAUCGGGUAGAGUCAAGUACACCUGGUUUCCUGCGCAGUACAAGGGGACUUCGCCCGAGACUAUUGAGGAGAUAGAGCAGUAUGCUCGGGGGUUUUUGAUGUUCCUCCUUGGGACCACUUUGUUCUCCGACAGGGGGAACACAGCUGGACUUUAUAUGCUUAGUGCUUUGGUAGACCUAUCACAGGUCAGCCAGUAUGAUUGGGGCGGCACCGGCUUCGCUACCCUUUACUGUUAUAUGAGUGCGACCUCCCGUGGGCAGGGGAACAUAGUAGGCGGCUACUGGAGAGCCUGGGAGCUGUGGGUUUAUGCAUACUUCCCGACGUUAGCCCCAGAGCUGGAGGUGGAGGUACCUCUGGAGAUCCCCUACUCUAGCAGGUUCGAGGGUAGGUGUCGGCCGAGGGCUCGGAAGACUCUGCCCUACCUUCGGCAGUUCUUUGACACGGUGCGGGCGACCGAGAUCACUUGGGAGCCCUGGAUAUCUUUGGAAGGAGAUACCCGUUUCUGAUUCCCUGGGGCGUGGGCCUUUUCUCAAUAUUGGAUUUUAUUUGAGAGGCCAGUAGGCAGGGCCUGGUUUCUGGGAGAUUGCUUCAUGCGUCAGACUAUGGGCAUCCCCGAUUAGGGUAUCCCGACAGCACCUCCAGAAGAUAUGCGGUCCACUGAGAGACUCACUCCCGAGGAGGUCGAUGUCGCUAUGUUGGGUACCGACGUAGUUCAGUUGCUGGAGGAGGGAGAGUAUGCAACCUACCGCCAUACGUACCUGAUGCCCCCAUUGACAGGUAUCCGUACUCCCACGAGGAGGGCUGCUGGUGCAUCACCGUCGAGUCGAGUCGAGUCCGAGCUGUAGAUAUGCCUUCGACUAGCAGGGCCGGUACAUCGAGAGGUGAGGCUGGACAGAUUCCCCCGAUUCCCCCAACUUACCAGCAGCUAGGUGGCCAGAUCUUCCGACCGAGCUGACAGGUUGGCGGUAUGGGACAUCCUACCCGAUUCCAUUGGAGCCCACAUUGCCUGAUCACCGAUACGUCAGAGACCCUGACUCGCCACCGCCUCCCAUCGAGUAUUGUGAUGGGUUACUCGGAGUGGUGGCCUCACUCGAGAGCAUGGUCCUGCGGAGGGAGACGUAACUAUUCAUCGCCGGUGUUUCGAUGCCAGCGCUACAGGCUGGGCCAUUUGGGCCUUCCCGAGGAGUUGGGAGAGGGGGCUCGACUCGCAGCUGAGGCAGGCGUAGAGCACCCAUCAGAGAUGAUGAGGAGUCCAGCGAGGAGGAAGAGUCUGCGCAUCCUCAGUCGGAGACAUCCGCAAGCAGAGAGGAGGACUCUAGUUCCAGCUCUGAGAGUGGAGGUGAUGCUGAGGAGGAUUCCGAGGGCGGCGACUCCGAUUCGGAUGGUGAUGGCGCAGGGGUUGCUCAGCCGAAGAGGACGAAGAGGGCCUCUUAGUCUUGCACUUGAGAGCACUGAUGCAGAUGUUCCUACUUUAUUUUCUUUUAUUACUAGUAGUUGUAGCACAUUAGCUUUUAGGCAGUU